UACGUAGGGUGCGAGCGUUGUCCGGAAUUACUGGGCGUAAAGAGCUCGUAGGUGGUUUGUCGCGUUGUUCGUGAAAACUCACAACUCAAUUGUGGGCGUGCGGGCGAUACGGGCAGACUGGAGUACUGCAGGGGAGACUGGAAUUCCUGGUGUAGCGGUGGAAUGCGCAGAUAUCUGGAGGAAUACCGGUGGCGAAGGCGGCAUCCUGGACCGACAUUGACGCUGAGGAGCGAAAGCUAGGGGAGCAAACGGG
rnacentral:rRNA from 1 species